GACGUAGGUGGCGAGCGUUGUUCGGAAUCACUGGGCAUAAAGCGCACGUAGGCGGCUAGGUAAGUCGGAUGUGAAAUACCUCAGCUCAACCGAGGAACUGCGUCCGAUACUGCCUGGCUUGAGGUCCGGAGGGGAGAGUGGAAUUCCCGGUGGAGCGGUGAAAUGCGUAGAGAUCCGGAGGAACCCCAGAGGCGAAGGCGGCGCCCUGGCUCGCAACUGACGCUCAUACACGACAGCAUGGGGAGCGAACGGG
rnacentral:rRNA from 1 species